AGAAGAUGGAAAAACCGAAAAGAAGCAAGAUGGGAAAUGCAAUUAGAAAAAACAGAUUCAUACAACACACUUCAUGGUUUGUGAGUCGUAUUAACAGUGCCAGGCCAUUUAAGGAAAACAAAGGAAAUGCAUAUUCAGUGGGUGGCUACCAUGUAUGAAGCACUACUGGGAGACUAAUUCAAGUUCUGCUCCUCAGUUUUUCUGUAGAGAACACAUCUAACUCCUGGAGGGGAGCACGGGUGAUGAGAUGUCCAGGUAGAGUGUGGGGGUAUGGAUUCUAGGAAGUAGGCCAGGAAGCAACACUUGGCUUUCAACCAGUUGAUUUUUAGCCACCCAAAAAGUACUGAGAUGACUGAAUGCCCACAUUUUGUGUGCAGCCUUGCAGAACAUGCUGUACACAUCCCAGACGUCACGGAUGACUUGCUUGUGGGGUGGGUGGUUGAGUUUUAUCUGAAUUCUGCACAUCUGCAGGAGGCCCAGCCUCCGUAAAGGCAGUCUUGGUGGUAAACAGCCAUGACUAGUCUUAGGGUUCAUCGUGAGUAUAGUGUAGAGACCCCCUCAACUGUGGACUCCACAUCAUGGCCUCAGGGUUGUGAGGUCCUCAACUAGGGAUGGCGGAGGGUGGCAGCAAACCCUCAUGGGAAUGCCACCCAGUGUUCCUCAGCAUUUAAUGGGACUCACAUAGUCUAGAAAACCCAGGGUUCAUUUGGACUGUGGAAAGUAUCUAGGUUCUCAUAAUCUUUUUCUACAGAGUUUCCCCCAGCCUGAUCUCUGCUUUGGGGCACGAGGUGGUGUGCACGGGAGAGAGAACAGAUCAGCAACAUGGUGCUGAUGCAGUGAUUUCUGCAGCAAGAAAAGGGCCUCUUUCCUGUCCUUCUGGCAUUGGGAGCGAAAGGGACUUUCUGUCCACUGAUAGCGCGUGUGCACCAAGGAGCGCUCACCUGCUCAUUCAUGACUGUGGAGAGUUCGCUGAGCAUGUCCUUGUAGUGGGACCUCAGUUCUUCCUGGUACUCCAGCUGGUCCUCUUUGAUGAGGCGCUCAUUCACGUCAAGGGCCUGCCCACAUGCAUCUGCAAAUUGCCUUUAGCGACAGCAUUAAACAAAUUAAAAACCAGCCCUCGGAAGUGGCAUUGAGCUCAGUGACUGUGAGUUCAGAGUCAGGCUGCUGAUGGACUCUGCCACCUCAGUGAGUUUUGGUGUGAUGGAUUCUUGGGGGAUUGAGGACUCCCUGUCUCAGGAAGUUCAAGGAAGAACAUCCCAACAGCGAGAAGCUUACCUGAAGAUCUCCUUCAAAAGCUUUACUUGGUUGUCAGGGUACUUCUUUGCAUUGGUUUCUUCAAGAAAAGCUCGUGCAUAGGCCAUUGGCCCAGCAUUAACCUGUUGAGAAGAAAAUUGGUGAAGGAUGAUCUACCUUCUGCAUGGAGUCUUUUCCACCGCUGGAAGAGGAGCAACUGUGCACCAAUGGUCCUUCUCUUCUUAGCCCCAUGUGAACUGUGAGCUCCAGAAGGAAAAGACCCUGUGCGCCUCAUCUCUCAGUUCUGGGCUUGGCAUUCAGCAGGCAUUUGAUAGAGGUUGGCUAACUGAACGACAGUGUGUAAGAAGAUGCUGAGUAAUCUAAAAGAAGAGUCCCUUUAAGGAUUGAAAUGAAACAUUCGGGUAAUGAAGCAUUGAGAGGGUGAAAGUUCUCCAGGUGAUUCUGUUGAAUGGCCAACUGGAAAUGAGAAUAGAAGCGUCUCUGAGUGAACACUUGACGUAGGACACUGGAAGAAGCAGUGCACACUGAUGGAAUGGGCAAGUGGUUCAUGCCAGAAGAUAAAGGACUUAACAUACCAGAAGCAGGUGAAUAAUUAAACAUAUGUGGUGCAUCCACAUCGUGGAAUACUACUCUGCAAUGAAAAGGAGUGAACUACUGAUAGAUGCAAUGAUCUGGAUGAAUCUCCAGAGAAUUAUGUUACAUGAAAAAGCCAAUUACAAACAUUUACCUACUGUAUGAUUCUACACCUGUAUGGAAGAUGUUGCCAGUGGGGAAAACCAGGUAAAGGGCACAUGGGAAACUCUGAAUUAUGUUUUACAAUUGCACAUGAAUCUACCGUGAUCUCAAAAGAAAAAGUUUAAUUUAAAAAUCAAAGAAAAAGAGGUCUAACACUUUACUACUAAUAAUAAGAGAUUAGAAGGUAAGGAGUCAAGAGUGGAAAAUGCUUAAAUUUGAGAUGUGUUCAAAUGAAAUGUAAACACACAACAGUAGAUGACUGUUUAGUUAUAAUUAAGAGUUUAUGUAACUACACAUUAUAAAGUCUCUCCUCUUAAGGUUGUGUUAUGGAUACCUGGUGACAGUUGUAGUUAUUUCAUCUUCCUCAUUCUGUACCAGAACUUUGAAGAGCUGAUUCAAAAUUAUAGGCAGAAAACUCAUGAUUGCAUGAAUCUUUUCCACAUUCAAUAAGUUCUGUAGUAAAUUGGCAGAAAAAAAGGAUACCAAUUAAAUUUGAAGCAUGUCCUACAUUCAAGACCUGAAACUAUAAAUCUAUGAGAAGAAAACAUAAGGAGAAAAACUUCGUGACAUUAGACUGGGCAAUGAUUUUUUGGAUAUGACCCUCAAAGCUCAGGCAGCAAAGUGAAAACAGACAAAUGGCAUAUCAAACUAAAAGGUUUCAGCACAGCCAAGGAAACACUCAAUGGAGUAAAGAGACAACUUUACUCCAUUGAAUGGAGGAAAAUAUUUGCAAACCAUACAUCUUAGAAAGGGUUAAUAUCCAAAAUAUAUAAGGAACUCAAACAACUCAAUAGUAAGAAAACAAAUAACCCAAUGAAAAAAUGGGCAAGGGACCCAAAUAGACAUUUCUCAAAAGAGGGUGUACAAAUGGCCAACAGAUAUAUAAAAAAUGUUCAACGUCAUUAAUCAUUGGAGAAAUGCAAAUUAAAACCACAGUGGGACAUCACCUCAUAUCUGUUAAAAUGGCUGUUGUCAAAAAAGGUGAAAGAUAAUAAUUAUUGGAGAGGGUGUGGAGGAGAAGGAACACUUGCACAUUGCUGGUAAGAAUGUAAAUCAGAAGAGCCACUAUGGAAAACAAUAUGAAGGUUCCUCAAAAAAUUAAAAAUAGCACUACCAUAUAAUCUAGCAAUCCCACUACUGGAUGUAUAUCCAAAGGAAAUGAGAUCAGUAUGCUGAAGAUGUCUAUUCCCAUCUUUACUGCAGCACUAUUCACUGCAGCCAAGAUACAGAAUCAAUCCAAGUGUCCAUCAACCGAUGAAAUGGGUAAAGAAAAUGUGGUACAUAAACAUAAUGGAAUACUAUACAGCCUUAAAAAGGAAGGAAAUUAGGUCAUUUGCAACAACAUGGAGGAACCCGGAGUAUAUUAUGCUAAGUGAAAUGAGCCAGGCACAGAAAGACAAAUACCGCAUGAUCUCAUUUAUAUGUGGGAUCUAAAAAAGUUGAAUUCAUAGAAGUAGAGAGUGGAAUGGUGGUUACCAGGGGCUAGGGAGGGGAGUGCUGGGAGAUGUUGAUCAAAGGAUACAAAAUUUCAGCUAGAUAGAUAGGAGGAAUAUUGCACAACAUGGUCACUAUAGUUAAUAAAAAUGUGUUAUAUUCUUAAAAAUCUCUAAGAGAGUGGAUAUUAAGUGUUAUAACCUUAAAAAUUAUAAGUAUGUGAUAUAAUAAAUACAGUAAUUAACUCAAUGAAGCUGUUACAUAAUGUAUACAUAUUUCCAAACAUCAUACUGUAUACAAUAAAGGUAUAUAAUUUUUCUUUGUUAAUUAAAAAAUGAAUACGUUAGAAAAAAAUAAAGUAUAUUCUGCUGGUAUUUUUUUCAGAACUUGAGUAUGAA
rnacentral:lncRNA from 10 species